GGGGUUGUAGCUCAGUGGUAGAGCGCUUGCUUCGUAUACAUGAGGCACUGGGUCCGAUCCUCAGCACCACA
rnacentral:tRNA from 1 species